UUAUAAUACUGAGUUAAGUUUUUAAAUUAAUAUUUGUCUGUUGUUUUAUUUGUCUUUGACAUGUUAGCUCUGAUUUCAUGUAUAUUUUUGCCCAAAAUGAUGAUCCAUAUCUGUAAGUAAAGACAUUGUGAGCUAACGUUACAUUUGCCUAAUGUGGUGUUUUGCUUCGUCCAGGGAAAAAUGUAAGGAUUAUUUUUUAGUAUAAAUCAUGAUCAUGAUUUUAGUAUAAAGGGUAGAUUAUAAUAGUAGUAUUUGCACAACUAAUUAAUUGACCUAGCAAACAACUUUCGACCACUAAUAAGUGCUGUAAAAAUGUUUCUCCCCUUAGGACCUAAAGCUUUUCAAUGUUGAUUGAUGACUGAGGACACUUUGCAAUACAAUAAAAAAUCUUUUGUAAUAAUUGUGUCCCAAAGUAAUGGUUUGCAUUACUGUGUCAAGGCAUCAGUUAAAAAUCAUCUUUACAUUUCUACUGAAGGAAAAAAAUGAUAGAAGGUGAGUAACAGCAAAUUUUCAUUUUUGUGUUUUUAUUUUCAGACUAAAUUAUAAAUGCAACCAGUGACUGAUUCAGAUGCGUUUCUUAAUUGCAGAUCUGGCUAGUAAUUAAUAAAAUUUAUUUUAGUUUUGUAAAAAAAAAAAAAGUCCUAUCCUUUGCUGUCACAUAUCUGCACAUAAUCUGAUUCCUUAGAUUAUUCAGGUUUCUUUUUAAAUUGGAAAAAUAAUCACAAUUGCUUUAUCACAGACUGAAAACAUUCAGCUGAGAAGAGUGUGUCCUGUAGGCCCUUUAUUCCAGAGAAAGUCCUGAAGACCUCAUCAACAAGUACCUUGAUAACCAGACAGAUGAUUGUGAGGGUGACCCUGAGCAGCUCUUCAUGGUGGUGUUCAUUAUUCCGAAGGAGGGGGAGAACUUCAUGAACCACCUGCUGACAUUGACAUUGUGAUCGAGGGAGUUAAAAGUUUUGAAUCGACUCACUUCAGUCACAUCAG